GAUGAACGCUGGCGGCGUGCCUAAUACAUGCAAGUCGAGCGAACAGACGAGGAGCUUGCUCCUCUGACGUUAGCGGCGGACGGGUGAGUAACACGUGGAUAGCCUACCUAUAAGACUGGGAUAACUUCGGGAAACCGGAGCUAAUACCGGAUAAUAUAUUGAACCGCAUGGUUCAAUAGUGAAAGACGGUUUUGCUGUCACUUAUAGAUGGAUCCGCGCCGCAUUAGCUAGUUGGUAAGGUAACGGCUUACCAAGGCAACGAUGCGUAGCCGACCUGAGAGGGUGAUCGGCAACACUGGAACUGAGACACGGUCCAGACUCCUACGGGAGGCAGCAGUAGGGAAUCUUCCGCAAUGGGCGAAAGCCUGACGGAGAAACGCCGCGUGAGUGAUGAAGGUCUUCGGAUCGUAAAACUCUGUUAUUAGGGAAGAACAAAUGUGUAAGUAACUAUGCACGUCUUGACGGUACCUAAUCAGAAAGCCACGGCUAACUACGUG
rnacentral:rRNA from 1 species